GAUGAACGCUGGCGGCGUGCCUAAUACAUGCAAGUCGAGCGAACGGACGAGAAGCUUGCUUCUCUGAUGUUAGCGGAGGACGGGUGAGUAACACGUGGAUAACCUACCUAUCAGACUGGGAUAACUUCGGGAAACCGGAGCUAAUCCCGGAUAAUAUUUUGAACCGCAUGGUUCAAAAGUGAAAGACGGUCUUGCUGUCACUUAUAGCUGGAUCCGCGCUGCAUUAGCUAGUUGGUAAGGUCACGGCUUACCAAGGCAACGAUGCAUAACCGACGUGAGAGGGUGAUCGGCCACACUGGAACUGAGACACGGUCCAGACUCCUACGGGAGGCAGCAGUAGGGAAUCGGCCGCAAUGGGCGAAAGCCUGACGGAGCAAGGCCGCGUGAGUUAUGAAGGUCUUCGGAGCGUAAAACUCUGUUAUGAGGGAAGAACAGAUGUGUAAGUAACUGUGCACAUCUUGACGGUACCUAAUCAGAAAGCCACGGCUAACUACGUG
rnacentral:rRNA from 1 species